GCUUAGUAAGUUAAACGUCUGACUUCGAUUCAGGCCAUGAUCGCACAGUUCGUGGGUUCAAGCCCCACACUGGGCU
rnacentral:tRNA from 1 species